AGACCAGAUAAAGAUAUAUCAACCUUUGGUUUCCCCAGGGCCAGAUUCUAAGUCUUUGUAUGUAACCUGACCAGGAUGGCUUUAGCAUCCUCAUGGAGGAUGGUGGCUUCGUGGUUGCCAGAGCCUUCUUUUUGUCCCUUCCUGUCCCAUAAGAUCCAACCUAGAAUCUGGAUCUAAUAGAAUUCCUAUUUUUCUGUUCUUAUUUUGGACAUGGUUGCAUUUGCACUGUAUCUUAUAGCUCUUACAUUUUAAAUUGACUUUACACAUUUUUUAUUCAACUUUACUGAGAGUUUACUGUGUGCCAGUCACGUGCAGUGAGCUGGAGAUUCAGAGCCGGAUCUCACAGUCUUUUAAUUACAUUCACAGUGUCACAUGUCCUGUGUGAGAUAUGCUCACAUCAGAAAUGCCGGGGGGUUGCUGAGGAAGGAGACUCUGGGAUCAUCCAAAGAAGUCCAAAAAGAUAGCAGAUCCAGUGAUAAUUGCCUUUACUCUCUGGUCUUCUUCCUUAACCAGGGAAGAGAAGUUAAUUUUAGAUGAUGGUAUUUUCCAGAGUUCUCUCUGCCUUGUUUUCCACAAAAGAGAAGUAAUAUGUAGCAUUUUUCCUUCUUCUGUGUCCCCCCAGACUUAGAGAUUCUCAUCAUGAGUUCUCUGAACAAACUGGGUUUUCUGAUACUUCAGUCAAUUCUUACUGGGCUGCUGGAAGCUAGCCCUGGGGGCCCAGAGAUAUAUGCGUAUGUAGACUAGUUGGGGGGAAGAUGUUCCCCCAUCAUUUCCUCCCCAACUUUAAUUUUUCAAUCCAUUUUCUUUGUUUCCUUUGUUUUUAAAAAGACAUUGACAAGUUGACCCCUAGAUAUUUCCUAAAAAACACCCAAAGCUCUGUUAACAUUUUACAACAGAACACUAGCCAGAUGUUUGUUUUAUGUUAAAAGUUCUUCUCCUUCCUCACCUUAGAAUUCUUCUCACUUUUCCAUCAAAUGUAAGACACAGAUUUUGAGUAAUUAAACUCAUGGCAGAAGAGGAAACUCAUCCUUUAAAGAUUGCUUGCCUGUAGAUAAUCAGUCAAUUGGUCUGUGUUACAUAACACUGUGACCCUAGAUUAUAUUACAUUCCCAGAAAAGUACAGACUGCACAACAGUUUGUGAAGCACCUAGUGUGUGGCAGGCACGGUGCUAACCAUAGUAGGAUCAAAAUCAGUGUGUCUGUAUGUGGUGCACGUUAAGUAUUGUGCGGAGCUAAGAGACCCACAGGCCCACAGACUGAACAAUUUUCCAGACUUGGGGUAGGUAGUCAGAAUAGCAAAGUGAAUCUUGGAAGACUUACAAAUGUCAGAAAAUGUACUUAAGCUGCCUUCAUUUGGGAGUGAACGCUGGUCGCAAACUACAGUUGGUUUGCUCUGUAUCUGCCUGUAUUGGAGCAUGAAGUCCAACAUCCCUGCAGGGCAAAGCAUCAGAUCCCAGAGGGCUGGCCUGGCUCCCUCUGACACAGUUCCCUGUGGUCUUCAUGUCUUUGCUAUUUGCAGCAUGGAGAGACUCUUUGACGAGCGUCGAACGUGCCACACUUAAAAUCUCUGAGGUGGCAGUUUCCACGUUUAAAAUAUUCCUCAGUGUCUCCCCAGAGUGCUCCCUGGUCAUCCCCAUUCAUCUAUCUCUGUUUGAAUCUUAGCAGGAAAUCUGAUGCCGCCGAGGCCCGUCUGUCUCCAAAAUGUGUCUCAAACUAUGUUUCUGUGUUCUUUUCAUUCUGUUAAUUCUGCACACUCAGUGCUUUUGAAACUCAUCCAUUUCACAAAAGCUCAAGUAAAUUUAAUCGUAUCUUUUUGAAGUUCUUCUUCACUGUGCUGUCAUUAGUUAAUAAUGGGGGAAACCAAGAGGCACGGGGUAAGAUGAUUAUUAACGAUACCUUGGAUUUGCACAUACUCCCUCUCAAUGAACUCUAGGCAGUUCAUACACAUUAGCUCAUUUUUCCCCACAACAGCUGGGCUGGGAGACCUAGAUUCUAUUCUUGGUGCUAUAACAACCUUCUUGGGAAAAGUAUUUAGCCACUAAUUGCCUCAGUUCCCAACUAUGAGAAGGGAAUAAUGAUAUAAGGAUAUUUGCUUCUCCCUCUCCUUAUUUUAAACCUUUAGAGCCUAAAUGGCUAAAUAACAAACCAAAACCAAAAUCAACAAAUUUGAAGAGACAAGUCUAAAAGAGAAGAAGGAGUGUGUCUUGACUUCGUUUCCAUUAGUGAAAAGGUGAGAUACAGUCUUUGGAGUUUGACUGGAAACCUUGAAAUCUGAACUGUGAUCCGAUCUCUGCUUACUGAAGGACCAUUCCCUGGGAUACUUCUCUCCUCUAUAUUGGAAAGUACUUAGAGAUCCAGGGCUGGUGAAUACUAUUAAAGGGGCCCAAUCUUCUAAAGAGCAUUAAUUUGGUCGGCCAAGAUGUCUCUAGGAACCAUGACAUCAACAAGACUGGAUUUAAGAUGAGAACACUCUUGGCUUCCAAAACCUUCCCCUUCCACCACCUCUCUCCUUCCCCUCACAACCUCAAGGCUUUGUAGCAAUUUCAAAAAUAUAUACAAAUAAUUCCAGUCCAAGUCACUGCCCUGUAUCUUUGGUCUCAUAUCAUCUCUAGACUCUUGGCCUGGCAAUCUCAAUCUUCAAAAGUUCCAGGGGCGGAAAUAUGCCUCUUUGCUUGCCAGCCUAAACCUAAUGACUGAAUGGCAGAGAACCUAGACCAAAAUAGAACUUGGCUCUUGGAUGACAUGCGUCAGCCAAGAAUAAUGCUUUUUAUAACAUCAGGCUCAAUUCUAUUAGCGCACAGGUAAUAGGGAUCUCACCCUUUAGAAGGGCCUUGACUUUUUCUGUUUUCCUCUCUCAGUUUACCCAUUAUUAUGUACAAGUAAAAGCUUCCCUCUUUUACCUAUCUAGAUACAAGAGGCCAUUGAAAUGUACUACUCACCAAUUGGUAAAGUCAGGCCCCAAGGCAAUGGACCAUACCUUCCAGAGGGCUUCACAAACAACAGGAGCCCAUUAGAUAAACUCCAGUCCUUGUAUGGAGUUAAUCUGAAAGCCAAGAAAAGUCCUCUGAAGCUCCCCCAAUAAGGCCUAAGGAGGCAACAGGAUUAUUUUAUAUAUUCGUAUAAAAAUAUUAAAUAUAUAUGCUGAAGACUUCUCUCACUAUUGAUUUCCCCUAAUAUCCUAAAAGGCUAAGGAAAGAAAAAAAAUCUAGGCAAAAAUUCAAGUGUUUAGCCUGGUAUUUCUUAGCCUGACACUUGGAACUCUAGGGAUUUGGGGUAUAAAAUCUGCUAGAUGACUUCUUUUGAGACCACUUGAGCUACAGACUGCUGGUACCAAACACUGCUCCCUACUGGUUCAAAGUCUCAUUGCUUCAGGAAAAUGGUUCUGCUGUUCCUUGCAUAAGGCAGCUGCCUCAUUCUCCUCUUCCUGGGAAUAUUUUUGUCAAUGAACGAGGGGCUCUUGCUGAGGGAAUUUAGAUACUUCACAUCUAAAGUAUGUUUCGAGUUUAGGGGCUGGAGUAGGAGGGCUGUGGUUAUCCAUCCAGUUCUCUCUUGAGAGGUGCCACCAUCAACUCUCAGGGAUGCAUCCUUAGAAACUUGAGUGGCGUCGAAAUUCUGAAUGUGCAUCAAUGCUUGUCAAGGGUAGACAGCGCCAUCACGUUCUCCCUGCCAUCCCCUAUUCAGAGACAGGAACUGCCCAGAUGAAGACUGGUCUGCCAAGGAUACCACUUAAACAUACUUAAAUAUUCUUCCCUUAGGCCAAAUAAGGACUUGUCUGACCUUUUUUUUUAUUUUCCCCAGGAAUACAUAUUAUGAAACUCUGGAACCGUGAGGUUAUAUGGUCAAAAACCAUUUCUAGCCUCUCAGCCUCUUUUUCUGAAAUGAGGGCAUCUGAGCUAGGUUGCUUAUCUCAGAUCUGGACUUACCCACACACUUUAAAGUGCAAGAGAUCUCCCUCCCUGCAUGUAGCCCAGAAUAGUCCUUCACAGCCACGUCAUCCUGGACACUUUAUCACUUGAUAUUACCUCCUAAUCCACAGAUCAGUGAGAUUUUAGACAGAAUUUGUCUGGCUUCAAACAGAAACAGCAUGACUUCAGAAUAUUUAGAAUGAAUUAAACAGACUAAUUUGCUAUUUUUCCAAAAUAUAAAUAAACAUGGCUAUAAGUGGGACUUCAGCCAGAGUAUAGUCUUAGCAAAUAAGGCUGCAAUUCACUCUUUGUUAAAUGUUACUUUUAUGUGGCAUUUUAUGAAGCAUUAUUCCGAGGGUUAUUUAGACAUGAACUCGGCUCUCUCGAAAAGUUACAAUCAAAGCCACAUCUGCAUAAAAGUUUACUAAAAACUUUUGCUGUGCACUAGGUGCUGUGCUAGAUACCAGGAACACAAAAGCGACCACGUAACAAACCUCUCUCCAUUCACUUUGGAGUUUGAGGAUAGAGACAGCAUCGUCUAUGGACAGUGCCAACACCAGAGCAUCAUUUUCUCUCCUCCAGCUAAGGGGAUUACCCUGCCUAGCACAGUGCCUGACAUACAGUCAAGUACUCAAUGAGUAAUUAUUGAUGGAAAUGAGCUAAAUGACAAUAAUGAAUAAAUGUUAAGGUAUAAGUACAGAGUGCUAUGGAAAAUACAUCGAAGGAGAAACUAGACUAGGUGGAGGGGAUGAACUGUGGAAAGUGUCAUUUACACUGAGACAAGAGUCGAAGAACCUAAUGAUGCAAAAGAAAGACCAGGCUUAUAGAGUUAGACCUGGUUUGAGUCUGAGCUGUGCCACUCAGAGCUCGGCAAUUCUAACUUUUCCAACCUUCUCCUCUGCCUCUAUAAAACACUGAUGAAGACUUUGGAAGACUAAAGGAGCUAUUAUUUAUCUGUAAGCAUCUGUGACAAAGAAGAACCUAGAUGACAGCCACCGGAGGAGGCACAGAGAGCAGAACUGCAACGUUAAAGCAAUGAAUCCCUAAGAAACUCCUAGGGUUAAUCCCCAGGACAACCUUGCUUUGAAAGAAAAAAUGUGGUGAGCCUCCUAGAAGAUUUGGAUCUCAGAAGCCUCUGUCCGUCCUGCUUCAGCCAGACGCCAGACAGCCGGCUCAAGGGGAUGGACGUUGACAGGGAAAGAAGCAGCCCAUUAAUCCUAGGACUACGCGUGUGAUGCUUUCAAAGUGCGGCUUCUAGGACAGAACCCAAUACCACAGUGCUGGAAUAUGACCAUAUUGCUGGAACUCCAGCAAAUGUCUAGAAUCUUAAGAUACUCUUGAGGGCAGACAUCGCUGUGAAGAUGGCUGAACACGAAGAUAUAACACUGAGUCUCUAAUGACUUCAGAGAGCUAUUAAAUCAACUGACCCUGGGCUGCCUAAUUCUGUACUUUCUUAUUUAUGUGGAAAAAUAAACAUAUGUCUGUUUAACCCAC